rnacentral:rRNA from 1 species
UAGCUGGUCUGAGAGGAUGAUCAGCCACAAUGGAACUGAGACACGGUCCAUACUCCUACGGGAGGCAGCAGUAGGGAAUUUUUGCGCAAUGGGCGAAAGCCUGACGCAGCAACACCGCGUGUGGGAUGAAGCUUUUCGGAGUGUAAACCACUGUCAGAGGGGACGAAAUCUGACGGUACCCUCAGAGGAAGCAUCGGCUAACUACGUGCCAGCAGCCGCGGUAAGACGUAGGAUGCAAGCGUUGUCCGGAAUCAUUGGGCGUAAAGCGUUCGUAGGCGGCCUGUCAAGUCUGAUGUUAAAGCCCAGGACUCAAUCCUGGUCCAGCAUUGGAUACUGACAAGCUAGAGUACAGGAGAGGCAAGAGGAAUUCCUAGUGUAGCGGUGAAAUGCGGUAGAUAUUAGGAGGAACACCGGUGGCGAAAGCGCCUUGCUGGAACUGAGACUGACGCUGAGGGACGAAAGCCAGGGGAGCAAAUGGGAUUAGAUAACCCCAGUAGUCCUUGGCUGUAAACGAUGGAUACCUAGGUGUUGCGGGUAUCGACCCCUGCAGUGCCGCAGCUAACGCGAUAAGUAUCCCGCCUGGGGAGUACGCACGCAAGUGUGAAACUCAAAGGAAUUGACGGGGACCCCGCACAAGCGGUGGAGCAUGUGGUUUAAUUCGAAGCAACGCGAAGAACCUUACCAGGACUUGACAUCUGGCGAAUCCUGCAGAAAUGCGGGAGUGCCUUCGGGAGCGCCAAGACAGGUGGUGCACGGUUGUCGUCAGCUCGUGUCGUGAGAUGUUGGUUUAAGUCCCGCAACGAGCGCAACCCUCGUUGUUAGUUGCCAAUAACGGCAUGCUGUUAUUGUGCUCUCUAGCGAGACUGCCGGUGAUAAACCGGAGGAAGGUGGGGAUGACGUCAAAUCAUCAUGCCCCUUAUGUCCUGGGCUACACACGUGUUACAAUGGGUGGGACAACGAGCAGCCAGCCAGCGAUGGUGAGCAAAUCUCUUAAACCUACUCCCAGUUCGGAUCGCAGUCUGCAACCCGACUGCGUGAAGUCGGAAUCGCUAGUAACCGUAGAUCAGCACGCUGCGGUGAAUACGUUCCCGGGUCUUGUACACACCGCCCGUCACACCAUGGGAGCUGACCACGCCCGAAGUCGGUGAG